rnacentral:tRNA from 1 species
GACGUGGCUCAGUUUGGUAGAGCGCUGCGUUCGGGACGCAGAGGUCGUGGGUUCGAAUCCCGUCGUCU